CCCACAGGUACUGUGAAUGCCACCACAGCCACAUCCAAGCCCUGAACCCCCUCCAGGGUUCUUUUAGGUUGCAGGUUCCAGGCCUGUUUCAUGCAGCUUCUGCCAAUAUGCUCCUUCUAGGAAGAGAUGGGGUUCCUGUCCCUGGAAAGUUAAUGCCUCUCCUCCAAGCCACCCAGCUAGCCAGAGGCCUGCCCAGGGCUCCCCCAGUGACUUCGCCACCAGAACAUCCUCAUGGCCACCCUGUCUGAUCUGCCUUCAUCUGCUGGCCCAUGCCUUCAUUCUCAGGAAUGAGAGUGAAGCACAACCCCUGAGAAUUACAGCCCAUGCCACCAUCAGGGCCGCCCAAGGCUCCAGCACAAGAAGGCCACCCAUCCUAGGCAUCAGCCAUGUCUGCCCAGCCACCAGGUAUCUUGGCUCCACUGCCCAGGGCAGGGAGUCAGAUCUGAACUCCAGCACCACAGUCUCUGCAGGAGGCCCAGCAGGAGCCUAGUGAGCAGCUAAACCGAGGACAAAAUGUUUAGCUGUGUUUUAAAAGACUAAUCUCUGAUCACACCCCACAGACUUUGUUCCUCCUCCCAAGCCAUCAUUAACUAUUAAUCCAGCUCACGGGCAGGGGAAGGGAAACCCAUCUCUUCUGUUAAAAGGAGGGGAAAAAAUCACAGCAUUGCAGGAUUAGGAAACAAAAUGUGUUAGGAAGACAUAAACACUGUGAAAUCUAUUUCAAGUUUCACUUACAUAGGAGUGCAGGUGUGUGUGUGUUUCUGCCUGCAUCCCCAUGUGCAGGGGUGUGUGUUUAUGCACGCGCCCCUGUAUACAGGGUAUGUGUUUGUGUUUAUAGACGUGUCCCUGUGUACAGGGGUGUGUGCGUGUUCAUGCAUGCAUCCCAUGUACAGGGGUGUGUGUCUAUGCAUGUGUCUCCAUGUACGGGGGUGUGUGUUUAUGCAUGUAUCCUUGUGUACAGGAGAGGUGUGCAUGUUUAUGCAUGUGUCCCUGUGUACAGGGGUGUAUGUGUGUUUAGGCAUGUGUACCUGUGUACAGGAGAGGUGUGCAUGUUUAUGCAUGUGUCCCUGUGUACAGGGGUAUGUGUGUGUGUUUAGGCACGUGUCCACAUGA
rnacentral:lncRNA from 13 species